AUAUUAAUAAGCGGAGGAAGAGAAACUAACUAGGAUUCCCUCAGUAACGGCGAGUGAAGUGGGAUGAGCCCAAAUUUGUAAUCUACCACCAGGUAGAAUUGUAGUUUGUAGACGUGUUUUUGACCCAUUGGGCAGUGUUGAGGUUCUCUGGAAAGGGACAUCAAAGAGGGUGAAAAUCCCGUUCAAGGCACUGCUCGCUCCAGUGGGCAAUAUAUGGCACUGUCAAAGAGUCGGGUUGUUUGAGAAUGCAGCCCAAAUCGGGUGGUAUACUCCAUCUAAGGCUAAAUACCGGCAGGAGACCGAUAGCGCACAAGUA
rnacentral:rRNA from 1 species